rnacentral:rRNA from 1 species
UACAGAGGGGGCAAGCGUUAUUCGGAAUUAUUGGGCGUAAAGGGCGCGUAGGCGGCCUUGCAAGUGACGGGUGAAAUCCCUCGGCUUAACCGAGGAACUGCCUGUCAGACUGCAUGGCUUGAGACCGGGAGAGGUGAGUGGAAUUCCCAGUGUAGCGGUGAAAUGCGUAGAUAUUGGGAGGAACACCAGUGGCGAAGGCGGCUUCCUGGCCUGUUCUUGACGCUGAGGCGCGAAAGCUAGGGGAGCAAACGGG